CUCGAAGGGUGGCAUGCGGCAAUGUCUGGGACCAGCGAGGAAGAUGACCGGUGUACAUCCUUUGGUAUAAAGUUGAAGACAUGGUGAGUCUUGUGGCGCGAAGCCAACAACACGCAGCGGCAAGUCGAGCACACUGGCCUGAGCCGCAAUACACCAACACCAUCAGCUUCAUGACGAAGUAAAAUAAAAGCUUAUGACAAAAGAAACAUGCUUUGAUAGGCGUCCUUGUCGACCUCGCAGUCUCCAACCGAUCCUUAGGUACCAUCAGCUAUGACCCUAAUGGACCCCGAAUAAAAAGGAGAAAACAUUUGACACUUAUCAUGGCCAACCAUGAAACCGUGUUUCAGAAACUGCAUCAUAGCACAUAUUUCAACAAUCGUUUCCUGGUUUGUAAUAUGUACUAGCCUUCUGAAAAAGACUGAGGCUGCACUUGUUCCUGCCAGGUUGUCAUGUUACAAAAAGGCCUAUCUACAAAUAGGUGGACAAGAUAAAACAUUAAAAAUAGACUAGAGCACUUUCCAUCUCCAUUGAUAAGAAAUAGUGGCAUGAUUGAAGGGCGAGACUACCAGCUGGUGAAGGAGAGGAUGUAUUCGGCGUGUCCUGAAGAGGUAGUCCACGAACCGGCAAUGGAGGAAAUAAGGUAGAGAUGGCAAUAGCAGCAAGUACGUCAAGUGCUAGGGAUGUGGAUAUGGUGUGGCAUAAAUAGGCUGAUGUUCUUGCUCAGUAUAAGCCAACAAUGGAGAAACUGAUCAAACUAUCUUUCAUGAUCAGUUACACACCAAGCCUAUAUUUUUGCUGCUUCUACAUGUUGCUGUGAUGGUCAUUCGGCCCAUUUUCUUGAACCUGCACUACAACGAGAGAUCUGGGCUGCUUCUUUGUGGCUUCCAAACUUGAAAUGUUUGUUUGGAAGUUAGUUUAGUUUUUUGUUGUGGAUUCACAGCUUCUCACAUGUACCAUCCUCUUAUACCUUUCGAUUUCCAAAGAAACUAAAAGAAGA